CCGCGGGCCUUUCCUUUGUGCUUGAUCUAACCAUGUGGUGGACCGAUGGAAAAGGAACAUGGUUCCGUCAAGCACCGCGGAAAGCCCCGCGCUCUCCUGCA
rnacentral:pre_miRNA from 1 species